UAAACUUUUAAUUUUAAUAUUUAGUUACUUUCUCUCUCUCUCUCUCUCUCUGGUUUCAUGCAAUAUUAAAUAAGGAUAACUUUCUCUUAUCAAGAAACAUUUUAAUUAAUACAUAUCUACAUAUAUAUAUAUAUAUAUAUAUAUAUAUAUAUAUAUAUUCUAUUUCAAUUAAAACCAAGAUUAGUAUUAACUGGAUAAAACUUUAUUUAAUUCCAAUACGUAAAUUUUGUACGAACGAGAGAUAGAGAUAGAGAUAGAGAUAGAGAUAGAAAGAGAGAGAUAGAAAGAGAGAGAUAGAGAGAGAGAGAGAGAGAGAGAGAAAGAGAGAGGAAUGAAAUAAAGAAAAAAAGGAAAGUACCGAGAAACGCCAUAGAAGUGAGCUGGUAUCGGUCUGAUGCGAUGCGGCGGCCAUGUUGGAGUGCAUGCAACGAUGCAGUAGACUUGCCAACAUAUGAUUAUGGUGGGCGCAACUAAGGCUCCUCGUGCAAGAAAAUUGGACGAAGGGCACUCUUCUUGUUGGAGGAAGACGAACGGAACUUCUGAUACAUGUAUUUGAAACAUCAUAAUGAUUAGCCCUUUGGUCACCCAGUACGAUGAAAUUGAGCUUUCGUGGGAUUCAACCGGUGCAUCAUUAAGAGACCCCCUACAUGCGGAACUUUUCCUAUUCUAUAGGCUAAAAGGAAGCAUGGAUAUUCUAUCAUAACGAAGGGUAGAUCCUACAUCUAUCGAUCGAAAAUAAAUUUCUCUUUGUCUUGCGUGUCAUCGUGUAUCUAAGAACGAGCGAAUUAUUAUUUCGAAAUGGAAAAUGUCAAAGCAUUUUUAAACACGAACGAGUUUGCCACAUAGGCAUAGUUACUUUCUUGACACCGUGUAUAAUCGAUGUGGUAAACCACCGACAACUUCAGGAGAGGUAGCAGUGGAGGGAUCACGCUACAUUACGUUCCAUUAUCUCACAUUCGCUUUUUCAAAGAGGACAUAAGAGCGCAGGACCGUACACAAAGAUUACCUACCGCAGUUUAUAUCUCGUAAAGAUGGGCGCGGUAAUUCCGGCUUUCUUCCGUGGGCCACACCACCGACUUCAAGAUAGGAACCAAUAAGUAUCGAAGCUUGAGGGAAGGAGUAAAAAGGGAGUAGGAAAAGCAAGUUCUUCAGUAUUUCUUAUCAGCGAAUUAACAGCCGUUGCUACCUCAUCAGUGAUAGCAGUCGUUGGCCUCCUUACUCCAUCGAGCGACGAUGAUGAGCCAACGUCAUGGGAAGUGGCAGGUGUCAAUCGCUGUCUGUCUCAUUCUCUGAAAAGGAGAAAUUUAUCCUUAAACGAUUUCCAUGUUAUAAUAUCCAGAUGAUAUCGUUUGUUAAUUCGAAAUUUCAACUGUAAACUGACGAAUCCUGACAAAUUUUUUCGAUUAAUAACAAAAAUUUUUUCUAUUCCCUUUUUCCUAUUUUUUUCUUUUUUUCUUCUCAUUUGAUAAGUAUCAUUAUAAAAAUGGGUUUAUAUUAAUUUCACAUAUGAUCGUUAAGAAUGAGAUUUGUCGAAUCUCAAAUAAUAGAUAUUGCAUUUUAAUAUUUUCAUUUAAUUCGAUGCACUCA